rnacentral:rRNA from 1 species
GAUGAACGCUGGCGGCGUGCCUAAUACAUGCAAGUCGAGCGAACAGACGAGGAGCUUGCUCCUCUGACGUUAGCGGCGGACGGGUGAGUAACACGUGGAUAACCUACCUAUAAGACUGGGAUAACUUCGGGAAACCGGAGCUAAUACCGGAUAAUAUAUUGAACCGCAUGGUUCAAUAGUGAAAGACGGUUUUGCUGUCACUUAUAGAUGGAUCCGCGCCGCAUUAGCUAGUUGGUAAGGUAACGGCUUACCAAGGCAACGAUGCGUAGCCGACCUGAGAGGGGGACGGGCAAAAUUGGAACGUGACCACGGGCGCGACCCCCACGGGGGGCAGAAGUGGGGAUGUUUAAGAAAUGGGCGAAAGCUGAACGGGCUAAUACCGGGGAAGGAAAAAAGGGUUUGGGAUGAUAAACGUCUGUAAUUAGGAAAAAAAAAAGGUGAAAGUAAACAAGGACGCCGUGGCGGUCCCAAAGAAGAAAGACACGGCCAACUAAGC